CUUUUCUCUUCCUCCAUGGAUAUAACAUUCUGAUCCAAAGCAGCUCACUCAAUGGAGCAACUCUUUUCCAAUACGACCUAGAUUUCAUUCCUCUUGCCCAAGAGCUUCAUAGUAAAUCAAAGGUUACUUCAUCGUAACGAAAAGUGACGGAGAGGUCGAAGGAAGGCAACCAAGGAUUGGCGUAAACGUUAUGAAGAGUUCAUUGUUGGUUCAUAUUGGUGACUUGAGGUAUGUUAAGGCUAUUCCCUUUUCUUCUUUUGGCAUGAUUCUUUACGAUACGAAAGAACGACAAACAUAUAAACCCCAAAAGUGACUUCCACUCUUAGACAUAUUAGGGGAAUUAUGACUUGAUCCCAAAUGCUGCUACCUUGUUAUAUAUUGAUCAUGUCUAUGAUUCCGACCGCUUUACUUAUUGAACA